GAAGGCUAAGUAGAAAAGGUAAAAAGUUAAAUUUUUGAAAGUAAAAAAAAAAGAAAAGCAAAUUUGCCCUGCCCUGAGCUGGAUUCGAACCAGUACCACGUCCACAUUCUGCCCCACGCCUUCCCCACUGAGCCACCACGAUCCUGCUGCCUCAACCCCACUGAUUGUCGUAUCUAUACUUAAUUUCUAUAUUGUUAUAAGAUAAUAUACUGGGGCGAAGCCCCAGUAUAGUAUACAGGCGAAGCCUGUAAAUGUCCGUUGACGGAUAGUUUACGGGAUGGUAACAAUCUCUCCCUAAUGGCUAGUGAUGUCUCUCCUGGACCUCUGUUAGUUUCUUUGGCUUACCAGACCCUGACACAGCCACUAUUUUGUCUCUGUCUCUUACUGAUAUAAAGUAUUUCAUUCAAUAUAAUUCAAGUAUCAAGAGCACAGGACUAUGCAUGCAUGACCAUGCAUUGUUUUGUUAUUUUU